GGGGUUAGAUUUCUCUUUCUACCAUGUGGGACCAGGUAUCAAACUCAGUGGUUCGACUCUGGUGGCAAGCACUGAGCCAGCUGGCCUGCCCUCACUGUGCCUUUGUGAUCGAUGAAGCCUGCUGCUUUGUUCUGUCGCCAGGCAUCACCCACACAUUUAUGCCCGGCACACAUUGUGUUCUCUUCCCUGCAAGAUCACGGCACUCAUGACCAACCACGAAUUGAAUCUGUCCAGGGUCAGGUGUGGGUUCAGCUGCCCCAUAACCCUAGAAUGGAGUUCCUUCCUGCCAGCAGGGUGAAGAGGAAGUGAUUGGAAUAGACACUGUCUUUCCAGAAGGUUCCAAGGGUCUUAGUGCUGGAGACAGAAGAACAGCCCUCAGAUGGAGAUGUAGAACUCUGCACCAUGCCUGCCUGGAUGCUGCCAUGUUCCUGCCUUGAUGAUAAUGGACUGAACCUCGGAACCUAGUGUCCUUCAGUGAUUCGGGGUGAACUUCAUCUCAGAUGGACUGAUCCUUUAAUUUCUCCAAAGCAGCCCACUUCUGUGGUCAACGUGAGUGGCCGAUGAGCCAUUGUAUUUGAGUGUCUCUCCUUCCCACGGGGAAGUCUAAGCUUUCAUUGGUUUUCAUGCUCUGAUCAGCUCCAGGAUGGGGAGAUGAGAGCUGACUGUUGAAAGUGGCAGUGGUUUGAUCUGCGUGUGUUGGCACAUGCCCGUCCUGCAGCACUUGGGAGGCAGCAGCAGGAGAUUCCGGAGUUCAAGGCUUGUAGUUCCGCUGCUCUUCUAGAGGACCGGACAUCACUGAUGUGAGAAAGUUCACAGUGGCCUGUAACUCCAGCCACAGUGGGUAUGAUGCCCUCUUCUGGUCUCCUCAGGCAACUUUGCACAUGUGACAUACACACACACACACAUAUAAAUGAGAAUAAUAAAAACAAAUCUUUAUUUAAAAAACAAACAAACAGACAAAAAAUAAACAAA
rnacentral:lncRNA from 1 species